rnacentral:pre_miRNA from 11 species
AUCUUUACAUAAUUAAACAAAUGCAGCAUAAGCAAAUGUAACACAUUGAAAGACCCCCAGAGUGGGGAGACCCUCACUCAAGUCUCGAGAUAAGCCGAAGCCCCAAUAAUUCAAGAGAGACC